GAUCCUGGCUCAGGAUGAACGCUAGCGGCAGGCCUAACACAUGCAAGUCGAGGGGCAUCACGAGGUAGCAAUACUUUGGUGGCGACCGGCGUACGGGUGCGUAACGCGUAUGUAACCUACCUAUAACAGGGGCAUAACACUGAGAAAUUGGUACUAAUUCCCCAUAAAUAUUCGGAGAGGCAUCUCUCCGGGUUGAAAACUCCGGUGGUUAUAGAUGGACAUGCGUUGUAUUAGCUAGUUGGUGAGGUAACGG
rnacentral:rRNA from 1 species